rnacentral:rRNA from 1 species
AGUGGCGAACGGGUGAGUAAUACAUCGGAACGUGCCCGAUCGUGGGGGAUAACGCAGCGAAAGCUGUGCUAAUACCGCAUACGAUCUACGGAUGAAAGCGGGGGAUCGCAAGACCUCGCGCGGACGGAGCGGCCGAUGGCAGAUUAGGUAGUUGGUGGGAUAAAAGCUUACCAAGCCGACGAUCUGUAGCUGGUCUGAGAGGACGACCAGCCACACUGGGACUGAGACACGGCCCAGACUCCUACGGGAGGCAGCAGUGGGGAAUUUUGGACAAUGGGGGAAACCCUGAUCCAGCCAUGCCGCGUGCAGGAUGAAGGCCUUCGGGUUGUAAACUGCUUUUGUACGGAACGAAAAGGUCCUUUCUAAUAAAGAGGGCUCAUGACGGUACCGUAAGAAUAAGCACCGGCUAACUACGUGCCAGCAGCCGCGGUAAUACGUAGGGUGCGAGCGUUAAUCGGAAUUACUGGGCGUAAAGCGUGCGCAGGCGGUUAUAUAAGACAGAUGUGAAAUCCCCGGGCUCAACCUGGGAACUGCAUUAGUGACUGUAUAGCUGGAGUGCGGCAGAGGGGGAUGGAAUUCCGCGUGUAGCAGUGAAAUGCGUAGAUAUGCGGAGGAACACCGAUGGCGAAGGCAAUCCCCUGGGCCUGCACUGACGCUCAUGCACGAAAGC